rnacentral:rRNA from 1 species
UGGGGAAUUUUCCGCAAUGGGCGAAAGCCUGACGGAGCAACGCCGCGUGAGGGAUGAAGGCCUCUGGGCUGUAAACCUCUUUUAUCAAGGAAGAAGAUCUGACGGUACUUGAUGAAUAAGCCACGGCUAAUUCCGUGCCAGCAGCCGCGGUAAUACGGGAGUGGCAAGCGUUAUCCGGAAUUAUUGGGCGUAAAGCGUCCGCAGGCGGUCUUGUAAGUCUGUCGUUAAAGCGUGGAGCUUAACUCCAUUUCAGCGAUGGAAACUGCAAGACUAGAGUGUGGUAGGGGCAGAGGGAAUUCCCGGUGUAGCGGUGAAAUGCGUAGAUAUCGGGAAGAACACCAGUGGCGAAGGCGCACUGCUGGGCCAUGACUGACGCUCAUGGACGAAAGCCAGGGGAGCGAAAGGGAUUAGAUACCCCUGUAGUC